UUCCUACGGGGCGCAGCAGUGGGGAAUAUUGCACAAUGGGGGAAACCCUGAUGCAGCGACGCCGCGUGAGUGAAGAAGUAAUUCGUUAUGUAAAGCUCUAUCAGCAGGGAAGAAAAUGACGGUACCUGAGUAAGAAGCCCCGGCUAACUACGUGCCAGCAGCCGCGGUAAUACGUAGGAUGCGAGCGUUAUCCGGAAUUACUGGGUGUAAAGGGAGCGUAGACGGUUAAGUAAGUCUGGAGUGAAAGGCCGGGGCCCAACCCCGGGACUGCUCUGGAAACUAUUCAACUUGAGUGCAGGAGAGGU
rnacentral:rRNA from 1 species